GACGAACGCUGGCGGCGUGCUUAACACAUGCAAGUCGAACGGAAAGGCCCUGCUUGCAGGGUACUCGAGUGGCGAACGGGUGAGUAACACGUGGGUGAUCUGCCCUGCACUUCGGGAUAAGCCUGGGAAACUGGGUCUAAUACCGGAUAGGAGCCAUUUUUAGUGUGAUGGUUGGAAAGUUUUUUCGGUGUAGGAUGAGCUCGCGGCCUAUCAGCUUGUUGGUGGGGUAAUGGCCUACCAAGGCGGCGACGGGUAGCCGGCCUGAGAGGGUGGACGGCCACAUUGGGACUGAGAUACGGCCCAGACUCCUACGGGAGGCAGCAGUGGGGAAGAUUGCACAAUGGGCGCAAGCCUGAUGCAGCGACGCCGCGUGGGGGAUGACGGCCUUCGGGUUGUAAACUCCUUUCGCUAGGGACGAAGCUUUUUGUGACGGUACCUAGAGAAGAAGCACCGGCUAACUACGUG
rnacentral:rRNA from 1 species